UUGACCUCGAAUCAGGUAGGAAUACCCGCUGAACUUAAGCAUAUCAAUAAGCGGAGGAAAAGAAACCAACAGGGAUUGCCUUAGUAACGGCGAGUGAAGCGGCAACAGCUCAAAUUUGAAAUCUGGCCUUCUGGUCCGAGUUGUAAUUUGCAGAGGAUGCUUCGGGCGCGGUGCCUUCCAAGUCCCCUGGAACGGGGCGCCGGAGAGGGUGAGAGCCCCGUACGGUUGGCGGCCAAGCCUGUGUGAAGCUCCUUCGACGAGUCGAGUAGUUUGGGAAUGCUGCUCUAAGCGGGAGGUAGACCCCUUCUAAAGCUAAAUACCGGCCAGAGACCGAUAGCGCACAAGUAGAGUGAUCGAAAGAUGAAAAGCACUUUGAAAAGAGGGUUAAACAGCACGUGAAAUUGUUGAAAGGGAAGCGCUUGUGACCAGACGUGCGCCGGGGUGUUCAGCGGGCGUUCUCGCCCGUGCACUCGCCUCGGCGCAGGCCAGCGUCGGUUUGGGUGGGGGGAUAAAGGCGUCUGGAAUGUGGCUCCCUCCCGGGAGUGUUAUAGCCAGAGCGUGU
rnacentral:rRNA from 1 species